UUGGGUAUUGCUUUUUCUUUGGGAGUUAUUGAGAAAUUUCAUUGUUAGGUUGUUUGUUGGGUUGUUAUUUUCUAUCAAUUUCAUUGUUAGGUUGUUUGUUGGGUUGUUAUUUUCUAUCUAUCCUCUGUUUGGUUGCUGGGAAUUUUAGGCAAGAAAAAGGGAAAAUCUUUCAUUUUUGUGUUUUAUGCUGUUAUAGAUUAUAUAAUAAUUAGUGGCUUCACUUAAGUUAAGCGGAUAAUGGAAAUAGAAUUAAAAAAUUUAGCUGCAUGUGUCAUUUUAGAUUCAAUUUCUGAGCAACCAAAUAGUACAUUAGGGUUUGAAUGUGGAUCUGUGUAUUUCUGCUGUACUAUUUCUGUGAGAAAUUUCCUUCACUUUGCUUCACUUUUGCUGUCGUAUUUCUAUGUUUUGCUUCACUUUUGCUGUAGUAUUUCUGUGAGAAAUUUCCUUGUUUUGGAUUGCAAUUCAAAAACUAUACUAUUUCUAAAAAUGGACAUCCAUUUUAGAAAUUAGAGUUGUAUCCUGAUUUUUUUAAGUUAAACUUUUGUUUAGCAGGGCAUAUUGGCUUGUUUGGAUCUGUGUGGGUUUAAAUGUUUCAAUUGUUUCCAUUGUUUGGAUCAGUCAGCCAAGUACUUGUUUCCUCUGUUAUAUUGCAGUUUUUGGAUCAUAUUGGAUUAUUACAGUGAAGCUAUUUAUGCUUGGUUGUAGAGGUGUUUUGUUGUCACUGCUUGAAUCAUUGAAUGGGCUUGAAGGCCAAGUUGGUUAGUGAAAUUUUAGUUUCUCCAUUGCUCUAGUUGGCAUAGUAAAAUCACUUACUCAAAAACCUACCUAGCUCUAUAUUUGGCUCACUAAUUACUAGUCAUGCCUAACACUAGUCUGCAGAUCAUGGUGUUUUAUUUUUCUGGUGUUCCUGUGAACUUCUUGGCCACUCUUGUUUUUGUUCUUCUGUAUUUUUUGCUUUUCCUGAUAUAAAAGUUCUAUUUUUUUUU
rnacentral:lncRNA from 1 species